rnacentral:lncRNA from 1 species
CAUCAUAUGACCAUCUUGUUGUGCCCCUCAGAUCAAUGAUCAGGUUGGCCAAGCCACACUUGAGUCUGGGUAUUCGUUUGUUGGAUGCACUUGGUGUAGUCAUGUUAAUGGUUGGACUUAAUCAGAAUUUUCAGUGGAGGCACCACACACCUGCUGGAGAGAUGUCUGGGAUAAAAUUUAAUUGCUAAAAAUUAUUUGAUAAAAUAAUUAGUUAAGAAUCUACCUAUGGAUGCACUA